rnacentral:rRNA from 1 species
UACGUAGGGUGCAGGCGUUAAUCGGAAUUACUGGGCGUAAAGCGUGCGCAGGCGGUCUUUUAAGUCAGAUGUGAAAUCCCCGGGCUUAACCUGGGAACUGCGUUUGAAACUGAAAGGCUAGAGUGUGGCAGAGGGGGGUGGAAUUCCACGUGUAGCAGUGAAAUGCGUAGAGAUGUGGAGGAACACCGAUGGCGAAGGCAGCCCCCUGGGCUAACACUGACGCUCGAUGCACGAAAGCGUGGGGAGCAAACAGG